CACUUUCCCUUCUCUUCUCUUCUUCCUUGUCUAAGUUGCUGGAGGUACUGGUCCUCGAAACCAGCUUCACUGCAUUCCUAACAAUUUGCAUGCUUAUUUUGAUUCAUUCCUGAUUGUUCCUCUAUUCUCUUUGGUUUUAUAGCUUAGUAUCAUUUCUUAUAUCCCACCUACACCUUAACCCCAUUAUUAUAAUUCUAAUAAAGUCCUUUUGAUCUUUAAUUGCAUGUGUAUCAAGUGGUGGAAAUUAGAGGCUUGUCAAAUUUUGGUAGUGCUAGUUUGCAUGUAGUAAUCAAGUGUAGACACAAACCUAAACACUUGAGAGUUUAAGAGUGUACCUUGUGAGAAUUCUAUCACUUUUGAUUCAUCUUUUAAUUCAACGUGUCUUCUUGUUUGAUUUAGAUGUUGAUGAUGUGUUCAUAAAUUGUUUUGACUCCUUGAUGCUUUGGAUGUUUGUACUCUUACUCACUUUUAUACAUUUUAAGGAUUCAAUAAAAGUGUGUAAAUUUUGUGUUCAUGCAUUGGUGUUUGACUUUGUUCAAUCGUGUUUGGGUCCAUAAUUGAGUUUUAGAUUUAUGCCGGAGAUUCUAAACUUGCUACCGGUUGAAUUAGUUAAAUGGAAUCUGCACUUUUCUUCUCCUUCAUCUUCGUAUUUUGCUUCCUCUGUCUUGCUUUGCUUGUUCUCCUAUUUGUUUGUUUGUUUUUCAUUUUCUAUGGUGUUGUAGAAGCUUUGACGAUGAAUGAGAAGUCCAUAUUUUUGAAGAGGUCACUGCAAACAUCGAGAAGGGAGGGUGAAAAAAAUCGUAGGAGAGCUAGACAACAUGGAGUUCAGUGGGGCCAUCUUGGUAUUUUGUUUCCUCUAUCUGCAUUAGUUGCUUAUGCUAAUUGUUGCUUCUUUUUGUUUUCUUUGGUCUUGUAAGGCCAACUUCUCCAAGGUGUUGACCGCGCAGAACAAGGUUUUCUCCUUGAUUUUUUCUUGUUAUUUUAAUUUUGACUUGAAUUUGCUCGUUUCGUCAGAUUGUUAACUGUAAAUUGUUGUAUUUGAAUUGAUGAUGAUCUGAUAGAUAUGUGUGGUGAAAUUUUGAAUGUGACACGAAUGUUUCCUUGGUGCAUUGUCAAAAACUAAGUGUUUUUUUGGUGUUUUGAUAGAAUUUAAAUAGGACAAAAAUGUUGCUAAUGCAAUAGCUGGAGAAAAGUUGAAAUUACUGUGAUGCGCAUUCCAAUGCAAUACAAUGGAUAACAAUAAAAUGAAACCAAAAGCAAGAGUCCUUAUGCUUUUGCAAAAGUACUUUUGCCUCAAAAGUACUUUUACACCUAAUUUCCAAACAUGCACUAUAUUAUUGUAACAGACAUCAAAGAAGUAGGGUGAUGUACCAAAUACGGUCACAGAUUCAACAACAGCAGUGGAAAGAGAGCAAACUUGUGCAACAGCUGAAAUAGCUCAACCAAGUGCAGCACCUGAAGUAACAGUUAUUUCAAACUCAAAUUCAGCCUCACCGACUCAAGCUUCACAAGUAUCUGAGACUGCACUAAGAUUUGAAUAAUUCCUAUUCAGAUAGGAAUGAGAAUUUUUUAGAGAUGGCAUGUGAUGUGUAGGAAUGGCCUUCUUUUUUUGUAAACAUAGUUUGAGUGAUUGUAUGCAGAGGUUGAGUAGUGCUCCUGGUGUCAACCUAGUUGAGAUCAUCGGCCCUAUUUUGAUGCCUCUCAUGUUGCAACCCUUAAUAAAAGAAAAGAAGUUUGGGUGA